rnacentral:lncRNA from 1 species
UAGACAAUAUAUACUAUGCAUCAAACUUGCAAAGCACAAAUCCACAUUAAUAUUGAAGUGAAAAUACGGACAUAACAGUCAUACUAAUGUAAUAUUUAAGCGAACUAAUAUAUCAAUAUUCCAUUUCAGAGAGCAAAUAAAGUUGUGACUUGACAACAAAAGACACGAAAUCAAACCGAAGCAUAGAGCCAAUCAGCCAAACUAGCCAUCUUGCCAACAAAAGUGUAGCCGUCUAAAUAACCAUGACACCAUCAGUAUAUCCUAGAAGACACUACAGGAUAAGAAAAUGGAUUUGUUAUUCACAAAAAUUCAGUGUUAUGAUUUGUUUAUUUAUUCAAAACAGAGAGCUUGUAACAAUAGAAAAGGUUAAAUGAAACGUACCAAUAGUGUGCUAAUGAAAAUCACGAG